UAGCUCAGCAGGCAGAGCAACUGACUUGUAAUCAGUAGGUCACCAGUUCGAUUCCGGU
rnacentral:tRNA from 1 species